rnacentral:rRNA from 1 species
UACGUAGGGGGCGAGCGUUGUCCGGAUUUAUUGGGCGUAAAGAGCUCGUAGGCGGUUCGAUAAGUCGGACGUGAAAUCUCCACGCUCAACGUGGAGGGGCCGUUCGAUACUGUCGUGACUCGAGUCCGGUAGGGGAGUGUGGAGUUCCCGGUGUAGCGGUGAAAUGCGCAGAGAUCGGGAGGAACACCCGUAGCGAAGGCGGCACUCUGGGCCGGUACUGACGCUGAGGAGCGAAAGCGUGGGGAGCGAACAGG